rnacentral:rRNA from 1 species
AGAGAUCUGGAGGAAUACCGGUGGCGAAGGCGGCCCCCUGGACAAAGACUGACGCUCAGGUGCGAAAGCGUGGGGAGCAAACAGGAUUAGAUACCCUGGUAGUCCACGCCGUAAACGAUGUCGACUUGGAGGUUGUGCCCUUGAGGCGUGGCUUCCGGAGCUAACGCGUUAAGUCGACCGCCUGGGGAGUACGGCCGCAAGGUUAAAACUCAAAUGAAUUGACGGGGGCCCGCACAAGCGGUGGAGCAUGUGGUUUAAUUCGAUGCAACGCGAAGAACCUUACCUACUCUUGACAUCCAGAGAACUUAGCAGAGAUGCUUUGGUGCCUUCGGGAACUCUGAGACAGGUGCUGCAUGGCUGUCGUCAGCUCGUGUUGUGAAAUGUUGGGUUAAGUCCCGCAACGAGCGCAAC